GAGGCGAAAGAAGAGAGAGAGAAAGAGAGCGCGUUAGUUCUCGGCUGGGAUGCGAUGCAGUCUAAUCUGGCCUGGGCAUCGUCCAAGAUCAUCAAAGAUCCCUCCAUGCUACAAGAUUUGCCCACAUUUUCAGUUUAAAUUCAAGUCCCAACCAAUGGUCUCACCUCUCAGAGAAGAUUUCGCAGAAUUUCUCGUGAACAUACGUGACUUCAGAUCAAAUUUAAUAUUUACGAGUCAAAAUCUGGAUGGCCACGGCUGGACUGUGAGGAGAUUGAAGGGGUAAAGAUCGGACUAUACCAACCCCACACCACAGGACGAUCUGACAAGUUUAGCUGGGAGGAGUCAAUUCCAUCUUGUUGAAUAAAUCUAUGCAGAGACUCUUCUUUGUCCUGGUACCCAGGUGGUGGAAUGAACUUCCACUGGCUGCUGAAACAGCCGACUCCCUCACAGUCCUCAAAUGCAAACUGAGGACCUAUCUCAUUGUAAAGCACUAAGUACCAUCACCGGCUCUUGUUUCUGGCAGUGUCUGAGCUCAAGGGUACUUUGGACUGUUUGGAUGUAUUUGUGCUAGCUAGGACACAUUCUCUUGGACAACAAAGGACUUUUGCAAGUCACUCUAGAUAAGAGCAUCUGCUAAACGCCAUAAAUGUAUCCCUUUCACACUCAAAACCUGAGAUCUACUGGUUUAUCUUUACCAGAAAU